UGUCGAGCAUUUGUUUGAUGGGGCUAGCAACACCAAAAGUCGCCAAGUCCUGACCCAUAAACCCCUUUGGUGGCCAAAACAUAAAAAACCCAUAAACCCUGAGCAUCAGAGCAUCUGCUCACAUUUUGGUACCAGUAAUUUCAUUUCAUCCAUAGAAACAGAGCUUCUAGACCACCGAGAGUGCGAUUGAAGAGAAAGAGAGAGUUUAGGGGUGUAUUGGGAUGGCUUUUCGUGGAGGUGCAAAGCGUUCCCUUGGUUCAAUACUGUGUAGUUAUAGAUCGUCAACUACAGCUACUGCUGCUAAUGGCCGAGGUUUUUCUACCUGUGUCUCAAACAAAAGAGCUGUAUCUUCUCAAGUCACAGAGACCCAAACCUCGAUUCCUUUGAGACUUGCCAAUCCCCAAUGUGGGUCUGCUCUCUUUCUUCUUAGGACGUUGAGCGUGGGAGCAUCGUCGUCUCCUGACCAAAUGAGUCUUAUAAAGCAACUCAGGCAGAGAACCAGUGCUCCUAUCAAAGAUGUCAAGGCUGCUCUCAUUGAUUGCAAUUGGGAAAUCGAGGCUGCACUGAAGGAAUUAAGGAGAAGAGGGAAGGUUUUGGCAUCAAAAAAGUCAUCAAGAAUGGCUUCUGAGGGUUUGCUUGCACUGGCUCAGAACGAGAGCAGGGCUGCCAUUAUCGAACUCAACUGUGAGACUGACUUUGUUGCUAGAAAUGAAAUCUUUCAAUACUUGGCAUCAGCUUUGGCAAAGCAAGCUUUGCUGGUUGAAGGUUCUUCUCAACAGGUUCCUGGGGUCAUUCCCAUUGCCUCGGAACAUUUAGAGGACUUGAAGUUAAAUCUUGAACAUCCAAAAAUUAGUGGAGAAACAACUGUUCAGAAUGCCAUUACGGAAGUGGCUGCAGUAAUGGGGGAAAAUAUUAAACUUAGAAGGGGAUUUGUGAUGCCUACAGCUUCACAUGGUGUUGUUUCCACGUAUCUCCAUGCAAGUCCCCAACCAGGUUUGGGUCGCAUUGCUGGAAUUUUAUCUCUCGAAGUAGAGGACAAGAGUGCUCUGUUGGAUGCCAUCCAGCGCGUUGGGUCAGAAUUGGCAAUGCAUGUGGUGGCUGCAAAGCCUUUAUUUUUAACAAAGGAACAUGUUUCUUCUGAUGCAUUAGAGAGUGAAUGGGAAAUUCUCAAGUCUCAGGCUGAAAGUACGGGCAAGUCUCAGAUGGCCAUAGACAAAAUAGUAGAAGGUCGUUUGCGUAAAUAUUACGAGGAAGUUGUUCUUAUGGAGCAGAAGUUUAUUGUGGACGAUUCUGUAAAUGUAAAGACACUAUUAGAUAAGCUAUCUAAGGAAGUGGGAUCACCUGUGAAGAUUGAGAGCUUUUUCAGGAUGGAAGUUGGAGAAGCAAUUCAAAGGCUUGAAGCAUCCAAUACAUCUGAAAAUUUGGCUGAGGCCGCUUGAGGAAAUGCUGCCCCUUAAUCCACAGAAUGUAGAAUUCUGGAACAUCUGUAGAAGUAGGGAUUCAGCCUGGGUCUGUCGAUACUCAGCCUCAGUGUUACCUGUUUCCCAUGUCAAGCUAGGGCCAUUUCUUAGGUAUAGCACUGGCUUCGAAGAUAAAGGAGCGAUUAGAUGCUUGAUAUAUGGGUAACAAUGUUUUACCAUUAACAUGGUGAAUAUUGGUAGAAUUAAUUAUAGGGAAAUGAUAAAAAACUCCAACUUCAAUAUUUCCACUUUUGCCCUUUUUACCCGUAUUUACUCUUUCAACUUUUACCGUUUCACUUUUA